UACGAAGGGGGCUAGCGUUGUUCGGAAUUACUGGGCGUAAAGCGUGCGCAGGCGGUUUUGUAAGUCUGUCGUGAAAGCCCCGGGCUCAACCUGGGAAUUGCAUUCGAUACUGGAUAGCUAGAGUUCGGCAGAGGGAAGCGGAAUUUCCGGUGUAGCGGUGAAAUGCGUAGAUAUCGGAAGGAACAUCAGUGGCGAAAGCGGCUUCCUGGACCAGAACUGACGAUCAGGCACGAAAGCGUGGGGAGCAAACAGG
rnacentral:rRNA from 1 species